GACGAACGCUGGCGGCGUGCUUAACACAUGCAAGUCGAACGGAAAGGCCCUGCUUUUGUGGGGUGCUCGAGUGGCGAACGGGUGAGUAACACGUGAGUAACCUGCCCUUGACUUUGGGAUAACUUCAGGAAACUGGGGCUAAUACCGGAUAGGAGCUCCUGCUGCAUGGUGGGGGUUGGAAAGUUUCGGCGGGUGGGGAUGGACUCGCGGCUUAUCAGCUUGUUGGUGGGGUAGUGGCUUACCAAGGCUUUGACGGGUAGCCGGCCUGGGAGGGUGACCGGCCACAUUGGGCCUGCGAUACGGCCCAGACUCGUACGGGAGGCAGCAGUGGGGAAUAUUGCACAGUGGGCGGAAGCCUGAUGCAGCAACGCCGCGUGCGGGAUGACGGCCUUCGGGUUGUGAACCGCUUUCGCCUGUGACGAAGCGUGAGUGACGGUAAUGGGUGAAGAAGCACCGGCUAACUACGUG
rnacentral:rRNA from 1 species